CGAAAGCCUGACGGAGCAAGACCGCGUGGGGGAUGAAGGCUCUUGGGUUGUAAACCCCUUUUCUCAGGGAAGAAGAUCUGACGGUACCUGAGGAAUCAGCAUCGGCUAACUCCGUGCCAGCAGCAGCGGUAAGACGGAGGAUGCAAGCGUUAUCCGGAAUUAUUGGGCGUAAAGCGUUCGUAGGUGGCUGUUCAAGUCUGCCGUUAAAGACCGGGGCUUAACUCCGGAAAAACUGUGGAAACUGAACAGCUAGAGUAGGGUAGGGGUAAGGGGAAUUCCCGGUGUAGCGGUGAAAUGCGUAGAUAUCGGGAAGAACACCGGUGGCGGAAGCGCUCUGCUGGACUGCAACUGACAUUGAGGGACGAAAGCUAGGGGAGCG
rnacentral:rRNA from 1 species